rnacentral:rRNA from 1 species
CACGUAGGGGACGAGCGUUGUCCGGAUUCAUUGGGCGUAAAGCGCGCGCAGGCGGUCGUUCAAGUCGCGUGUGAAAGCCCCCGGCUCAACUGGGGAGGGUCACGCGAUACUGAUCGACUCGAAGGCAGGAGAGGGUAGUGGAAUUCCCGGUGUAGUGGUGAAAUGCGUAGAUAUCGGGAGGAACACCAGUGGCGAAGGCGACUACCUGGCCUGUUUCUUGACGCUGAGGCGCGAAAGCUAGGGGAGCAAACGGG